CAUCACCAGGACAUGCCGUGGAUGGAUGAGUUCCCUUUCUGGCAACAACCCUCAUCCUCUGAUGAAGCUGGAACUGCCGAGAAACAGGAAGGGAGGGGAGCAGCAAACACUCUGGAAGGCUGGCCUUGUGGGGCAGAAGUGUCUCUAGUUAAAUUUGAGAAGACACCGCUUGUAACAUUUCUGUUCAGCCCAACAAACCCAAUUUCUGCCACUGGAAAAUUGAUCCUAGCCUGUUACGACUGGAGAGGCCAGAAGCCACGCGGGAUACCCGGGCAGAGAUGGAGUGGGGCGACCAGAUGGGACUGUCCAGGUGCCCACUGCGGUGGUGACGACCGUUGAGGCUCAUUCUUAAAUGAAGGCGUGCACCAAGAAAGAGUGAAGAAGUAAUAAAUACAAAGGGAGGACCCUUUAGACGUGGGGAGGCAUUUUAAGCGAAGUACCAACCCAGAGGGGCGGGCAUUUGGGAAGAACCGAAAGAUGCAUGGUUUGCGAGGCCCGAGGCGGUCAUAAGGCUUUGGCAGGCAUCUCUGUGUCGAUAACAGAAGUGAGGAGGCGAGGAGUGAAAAAAAUGUGAACUCGCAAGAGGGAAGCAAGGGCGGAUCAAGGUUACCCACUGGGUGGCUUAGACACUGACAUCAAUUUCAAAUCUGCUCAAAGUGAGCAUUAGGAGUGAACCGCAGAGGCAUGGCGAGCCGUGCCCCAGCCACGUACCUUCACUCGAGUGGUUCAAGGCGACGGGUAUUGUGCCGGGCCUGCGUACAAUGCCCGCUGCUCUCUUACCCCGGACGUCACAAGGUGUUGCUUGUGAUUGGGGUAAAUAUUAGCCUGAAAUCACGCAUUGCUUCUUAGUAGGGAGGGGGAAGGGAAGGGGUCCCUAAUAACCCCGGAGAGUUAAUUUUCUGUGACAUUCUGCUGAACCAGGUUGAGGAAAUUCAGAGGAGCCUGGAGAAAACUGCCAGGCUACUGCUCCGCUUGCUCUUGGCUGGAUCCUGAUUGGUUGGGUGACAGAGGGCAAAUGGCUUUUACGGCUAUGAAUGAUGUAUGACCGUAAAAUGGUCUGUAACCAGAAGUGCCAACUGACAUGCCUGCUGAUUUAACGGACACCCAGGGUUAUGUUUGCACAGAGACGCUUAAAUAAACACGUGCUGGGUUUGAGGCCAUUUACUGAGCAAUCUCUUCUCUCGCUCUUCUUUCUCAUUUUAUUUUACUUCAUCAUAAAAACGGGGAGAGUGAAACCGUGGUUCCCUUUUUUAUGAUAAUGAAGAUUUACUCACGGCGGUGGCCGCUCCUCCCUCUUCCUCUCUGCGGAAUCUGGCCCCCUUUUCCUCUCUCUACCUGCAGGGGGAGCUGCGACAGACCUGCAGAGGCCCAGGCAGGGUUGGCAAGGGCAACCACUUGAACGAGCAGCCCUUGGGGAACGGAGGCGAUGUUGUCUGGUCGCUUUUGCAUUUGGUGGAUUCGGAGGUCGCUGUUUGAGCGGUGGAAUGGGGGAGAUUUCUGUUCAGCCACAAAUCGGCAAAGGCACCAAACACAGGAAAGAUGCUCUUCCCAUGAUGGUCCUCAAACUGGAACAUAUCCCAUGAGCUGCUAUGUAUAAAUUCUCUCCAAUAAAUUGAUCAGAAAUCCA